rnacentral:rRNA from 1 species
GUGCACCAGUCGCGAAUAGUCUACAAUGGACGAAAGUCUGAUAGUGCGACGCCGUGUGUGCGAUUAAUUCCUUCGGGAUGUAAAAGCACUUUUCUAUGAGAUAAAAGCUCUUUAGGUUAAUAGCUUAUUGAGACGGAUAUUAUUAUAGGAAUAAGCUCCGGCUAACUCCGUGCCAGCAGCCGCGGUAAUACGGAAGGAGCGAGCGUUGUCCGGAUUUACUAGGCGUAAAGGGCUAGUAGGCGACUAAUUAAGUUAUAUGUUAAAUCCCACGGCUCAACUGUGGUCCUGCAUGUAAUACUGGUUAGAUAGAGUACUGUAGAGGAAGGCAGAAUUCCUGGAGUAGCGGUGGAAUGCGCAGAUAUCAGGAGAAUACCAAAAGCGAAGGCAGCCUUCUGGGCAGUUACUGACGCUGAAUAGCGAAGGUGUGGGUAGCGAACAGGAUUAGAUACCCGUGUAGU